GAUGAACGCUGGCGGCGUGCUUAACACAUGCAAGUCGAACGGUGAAGGCGGAGCUUGCUCUGCUGGAUCAGUGGCGAACGGGUGAGUAACACGUGAGCAAUCUGCCCCUGACUCUGGGAUAAGCGCUGGAAACGGCGUCUAAUACUGGAUACGAGCUGCGAAGGCAUCUUCAGCAGCUGGAAAGAAUUUCGGUCUGGGAUGAGCUCGCGGCCUAUCAGCUUGUUGGUGAGGUAAUGGCUCACCAAGGCGUCGACGGGUAGCCGGCCUGAGAGGGUGACCGGCCACACUGGGACUGAGACACGGCCCAGACUCCUACGGGAGGCAGCAGUGGGGAAUAUUGCACAAUGGGCGAAAGCCUGAUGCAGCAACGCCGCGUGAGGGACGACGGCCUUCGGGUUGUAAACCUCUUUUAGCAGGGAAGAAGCGAAAGUGACGGUACCUGCAGAAAAAGCGCCGGCUAACUACGUG
rnacentral:rRNA from 1 species